UACGUAGGGUGCGAGCGUUGUCCGGAAUUAUUGGGCGUAAAGAGCUCGUAGGCGGUGUGUCACGUCGGCCGUGAAAACCUGUGGCUUAACUGUGGGCUUGCGGUCGAUACGGGCAUCACUGGAGUUCGGCAGGGGAGACUGGAAUUCCUGGUGUAGCGGUGAAAUGCGCAGAUGUCAGGAGGAACACCGGUGGCGAAGGCGGGUCUCGUGGACAGUUCCUGACGCUGAGGCACGAAGGCCAGGGGAGCAAACGGG
rnacentral:rRNA from 1 species